rnacentral:misc_RNA from 1 species
GAUGAAGAACGCAGCGAAAUGCGAUAAGUAGUGUGAAUUGCAGAAUUCAGUGAAUCAUCGAAUCUUUGAACGCACAUUGCGCCCCUUGGUAUCCCGUGGGGCAUGCCUGUUCGAGCGUCAUUUACCCCCUCAAGCUCCGCUUGGUGUUGGGCGUCUGUCCCGCUUCGCGCGCGGACUCGCCCCAAAGGUAUUGGCAGCGGUCGUGCCAGCUUCUCGCGCAGCACAUUGCGCUUCUCGAGGCACCGGUGGGCCCGCGUCCAUCAAGCUCACCCCCCCAGUUUGACCUCGGAUCAGGUAGGGAUACCCGCUGAACUUAAGCAUAUCAAUAAGCGGAGGA